rnacentral:tmRNA from 1 species
UCCUGCACAGGGGAGACUUAUAGGCGAACCUUAAAACCUGUGAUAAGCAUGUAGUAGCCUCUGUUGAAAUGCCUUCGGACGCGGGUUCGAUUCCCGCCACCUCCAUUC